UACGUAGGGUGCGAGCGUUGUCCGGAAUUAUUGGGCGUAAAGAGCUCGUAGGCGGUUUGUCGCGUCUGCUGUGAAAACUGGAGGCUCAACCUCCAGCCUGCAGUGGGUACGGGCAGACUAGAGUUCGGUAGGGGAGACUGGAAUUCCUGGUGUAGCGGUGAAAUGCGCAGAUAUCAGGAGGAACACCGAUGGCGAAGGCAGGUCUCUGGGCCGAUACUGACGCUGAGGAGCGAAAGCGUGGGGAGCGAACAGG
rnacentral:rRNA from 1 species